UUUGACCUCAAAUCGGGUGAGACUACCCGCUGAACUUAAGCAUAUCAAUAAGCGGAGGAAAAGAAACUAACGAGGAUUCCCCUAGUAACUGCGAGUGAAGCGGGAAAAGCUCAAAUUUAAAAUCUGGCGGUCUUCGGCCGUCCGAGUUGUAAUUUAGAGAA
rnacentral:rRNA from 1 species